rnacentral:rRNA from 1 species
CGCUGGCGGCGUGCUUAAUACAUGCAAGUCAACUUGACUUAGAUAGCAAUAUCGAAAGUAGGGUGGCGCACGGGUGCGUAACGCGUAGGUAAUCUGCCCUGAGGUCUGACAUAACCCGUCGAAAGGCGGGCUAACAUCAGAUGAUAUAUAAUCACGACAUCGUGGAAAUAUCAAAUCUUCGGAGCCUUGGGAUGAGCCUGCGUCUGAUUAGGUAGUUGGCGGAGUAAUAGCCCACCAAGCCUACGAUCAGUAGCUGGUCUGAGAGGAUGAUCAGCCACACUGGAACUGAGACACGGUCCAGACUCCUACGGGAGGCAGCAGUAAGGAAUAUUGCUCAAUGGGGGAAACCCUGAAGCAGCAACGCCGCGUGAAGGAUGAAAUACUUUGUAUGUAAACUUCUGUAAGAUGGGAAAAAUAUUCUCCUCGGGAGAAUUGAUUGUACCAUCAGAGUAAGCCCCGGCUAACUACGUG